rnacentral:rRNA from 1 species
GACGAACGCUGGCGGCGUGCCUAAUACAUGCAAGUAGAACGCUGAAGGAGGAGCUUGCUUCUUUGGAUGAGUUGCGAACGGGUGAGUAACGCGUAGGUAACCUGCCUGGUAGCGGGGGAUAACUAUUGGAAACGAUAGCUAAUACCGCAUAAGAGUAGAUGUUGCAUGACAUUUGCUUAAAAGGUGCAAUUGCAUCACUACCAGAUGGACCUGCGUUGUAUUAGCUAGUUGGUGGGGUAACGGCUCACCAAGGCGACGAUACAUAGCCGACCUGAGAGGGUGAUCGGCCACACUGGGACUGAGACACGGCCCAGACUCCUACGGGAGGCAGCAGUAGGGAAUCUUCGGCAAUGGACGGAAGUCUGACCGAGCAACGCCGCGUGAGUGAAGAAGGUUUUCGGAUCGUAAAGCUCUGUUGUAAGAGAAGAACGAGUGUGAGAGUGGAAAGUUCACACUGUGACGGUAUCUGACCAGAAAGGGACGGCUAACUACGUG